CACCUUACUUAUAAGCCGGGGGACAAGAUUUGUUCUAUGUUCACUAGUAAAACGUGAGGUAAAUAAUAGAGACAACCAGACACCGUGAAUGUUUUGAUGUUUUCGGUCAUAGUGUGUCCCACAUUU
rnacentral:snoRNA from 1 species